ACUGCAUCUCAGCCCUGUCAAGAUGGAUCUGCAUAGUAGCGUGAACUGUAGUUCUUUGCAGCUGGCAUCCAUCUGUCUUGGGUGACAAUGCACGAUUGCACUUUCAGGAGUGAAAUCCUGACCAUUGGAGAAUUGCAGCACCUGCUGUGGCUGUGGAGACUGAUAUGAGGGAGACAAGUUUUGUUGCAGCUGGGGCAAAUGAAGGCGUCCGGUUGUGCUGAUGCAGGCUACUGAGGUUCACCUAAAGCUACCUUUCAAGACAAACAUAGAGAUCGCUGCUUGGGCAAAACAUCUGAGGAAUCCCAAGGGAAGCAAUAUAUUUUCUAUAAAGAUUUCUGAAACAAUUUAGUGGGAACUUGGCAAAUCCCUGCAACCAAGAUGCUCAGCAUAUUCAAGAAUUCACAAUGGAAAGAAUCGUAUUGAUGAAAGGUUUUAUGCUGCCUUUUCUAUUCAGUCCAAUGAAAUUGUUUUUAUUAUAUUUGAUCUGUAUCUUAAUGUAUUUUAAAAGAGAUUUUUAUUGAUGCAAACCACUCUUACUGGUGAUGGGCCAAUCAAUCAAUCAAUCAAUCAAUCAAUCUGCCAGCUUGGGUGCCCUAUGCUCCGCUCACAAAUUUUAAAUGUAUAAUUAAUGGUGGUGUUCUUAUUAGAGGUAAGCAAACUGACUUUGCUGUUGCUUAUUGGGAGCUCUAUGUGCCAGCUUCCUGUUUGUUUUUCCUCAAUAAAAUAUUUA